AGUUUGAUUCUGGCUCAGAUUGAACGCUGGCGGCAGGCCUAACACAUGCAAGUCGAACGGUAACAGGAAGCAGCUUGCUGUUUCGCUGACGAGUGGCGGACGGGUGAGUAAUGUCUGGGAAACUGCCUGAUGGAGGGGGAUAACUACCGGAAACGGUAGCUAAUACCGCAUAACGUCGCAAGACCAAAGAGGGGGACCUUCGGGCCUCUUGCCAUCGGAUGUGCCCAGAUGGGAUUAGCUAGUAGGUGGGGUAACGGCUCACCUAGGCGACGAUCCCUAGCUGGUCUGAGAGGAUGACCAGCCACACUGGAACUGAGACACGGUCCAGACUCCUACGGGAGGCAGCAGUGGGGAAUAUUGCACAAUGGGCGCAAGCCUGAUGCAGCCAUGCCCGCGUGUAUGAAGAAGGCCUUCGGGUUGUAAAGUACUUUCAGCGGGGAGGAAGGGAGUAAAGUUAAUACCUUUGCUCAUUGACGUUACCCGCAGAAGAAGCACCGGCUAACUCCGUGCCAGCCGCCGC
rnacentral:rRNA from 1 species